AACGAACGCUGGCGGCAGGCCUAACACAUGCAAGUCGAGCGGACCCUUCGGGGUUAGCGGCGGACGGGUGAGUAACGCGUGGGAAUAUGCCCUUCUCUACGGAAUAGUCCUGGGAAACUGGGGGUAAUACCGUAUACGCCCUUUGGGGGAAAGAUUUAUCGGGGAAAGAUUAGCCCGCGUUGGAUUAGGUAGUUGGUGGGGUAAUGGCCUACCAAGCCGACGAUCCAUAGCUGGUUUGAGAGGAUGAUCAGCCACACUGGGACUGAGACACGGCCCAGACUCCUACGGGAGGCAGCAGUGGGGAAUCUUAGACAAUGGGGGCAACCCUGAUCUAGCCAUGCCGCGUGAGUGAUGAAGGCCUUAGGGUUGUAAAGCUCUUUCAGCUGGGAAGAUAAUGACGGUACCAGCAGAAGAAGCCCCGGCUAACUCCGUG
rnacentral:rRNA from 1 species